rnacentral:rRNA from 1 species
AGUAACGCGUGAGGAACCUGCCUCAAAGAGGGGACAACAGUGGAAACGACUGCUAAUACCGCAUAAGCCCACGGCUCGGCAUCGAGCAGAGGGAAAAGGAGUGAUCCGCUUUGAGAUGGCCUCGCGUCCGAUUAGCUAGUUGGUGAGGUAAUGGCCCACCAAGGCGACGAUCGGUAGCCGGACUGAGAGGUUGAACGGCCACAUUGGGACUGAGACACGGCCCAG